ACAGAGGGUGCAAGCGUUGCUCGGAUUUACUGGGCGUAAAGCGUACGCAGACGGUUUGGUAGGUCGGGUGUGAAAGCCCAGGGCUCAACCCUGGAAAUGCACUCGAAACCACCUCACUUGAGUAUAGGAGAGGGAAGCGGAAUUCCUGGUGUAGAGGUGAAAUUCGUAGAUAUCAGGAGGAACACCGGUGGCGAAGGCGGCUUCCUGGCCUAUUACUGACGUUCAGGUACGAAAGCGUGGGUAGCAAACAGGAUUAGAUACCCUGGUAGUCCACGCCGUAAACGAUGAGUGCUGGAUGUCGGGGGUAUUCACCCCCUCGGUAUCGAAGCUAACGCGAUAAGCACUCCGCCUGGGGAGUACGGCCGCAAGGUUG
rnacentral:rRNA from 1 species